AGAAGUACAGACUCUGUGGCUGCAGCAAGACGUUUCAGAAUGAUUCUUCCUGAGCUCCUCCACACCUACGCCCAUUGGCCCCCUUCAUGAUGAUGCCGUUACAUUCACCACCUUUUGUGCUCCCAUCCUCCCCGUCUGACACCGGUCGCCGAGGGUUAAUGACGAGUGGAAACUGUGACCCCAGACCGUGACCGUUGAACCUGACCUGUGAAAGACAGCAGGAUAACAUCAGGAGAAGCAAGACUGACUGCUGAAUAGAGCGGGAUCAACAGCAGAAUGACUGUCAGAGUGACUCCAGGUGAACCGCUGCUGCUGACGGCAGCCAUUCUGCGCUUAAUCUGUCUGACGGCCGCGACGGCUGUUCACACAGCAGCAGUAUGAAACUCUCUCCCCUUUCUUUUUUUUUGUCCUCCUCCACUCAAAACUGUGUUAUUUCAGUGUGCAGCAUGAUGAAUUUGGAUAAUUUUACACUUUCAUCCACUGAAGAGGAAAAGUUUCUCUUAAAGGCUUAGUAUGUAAUUUCUGCCACCAGGGGCCUCACAGUCAAAACAACGAAAACCAAGAACUAGUUUGAUAGCGUUCUGAAGUAGCAUGGGGUCAUUGGAAUUGUUGUCUUCAUUGUUAAACAACCAUCAUUGUUGAUGAAACAAUGUCCAUGUGACUCAUUCAGAAAUCUUGACAGACAAGAUAAAAUUUUAAAGUUUUAUUUUUGUUCCUCACUUCCUGAUGUAUCUUUGUAUGUUUCCCCUGAAGUUACAACAACAGGCCACCAAAUGAAAUGCACCAUUACCUUGAGUAAAAAUACGGUCUUCUCCGGGUUUAAACAUUGCUAUGAAUGUUUCAGAUAAUCUAAGAACACAACUCCAAAAAAUACAGAACAGAGUUAUAAUGUUUUGGGGCAUUUUGAAUGAAAACUACUACGGACUUUUCAACGAGGCAGGAGUAGAUGACAUUUUAAAAUGAGGCAAAUUAUUUUGCAGUAGGAGACUCAUGAACUGAAUGUGAAUUCAGCAAAUUAAAAUUUUAACGUGAAACUAAAAGAACACUGUCUGUAAACUGGACAUUUUCUCAAGCCGCUGACUUUUAUUCACAUAUGAACAAAACCAUCAACAUGUGAGAUUUACCACUUCACAUGGGAAUUGCAAACAUUCGUGUGAUUGAAUGUGGAUGAGAAUUUCUGCGCGUGUGAACAAAACGUGCAUGAACUCGGCUUCUCGUGUGAACAGCAGUUUAAUAAUGCGAAAAUAGGAAAUGUUGCAUGUGAACUGGACAUUUUCACAAGGAAAUAACAUAUUUUUUAUACCUGAUUGGGUUUUUAAAAUAUGUGGAUUAGAAACUCUAAUAUGUCUAAAUCAUACAUGAUGUGCACACACCCACAGAGAAGUAUUAAAAGUUUGAAUAAAGUGAAUUACAGAUGUUUAAAUAUGUUUCAAUUGUAAAAUACUGUCACUUUCAAUUUUUCUUGUGAUAUAAAUUUGAAUUCAUAGUGAGUAUAUGUUGACUGUUCACUAUAGCUUAGCCUCCUGUUAUUUAAGAUGUAAUUAUUAGUGUUGCUGUGAAAUAUUAGUGAGUGACUUAAUGAAAGGAGUGUUGAUGUAAACUGAUAUUUGCAUGUUGCAUCUUAAAUUUGACGUAUGAAAACACAGUCCAAGAGAUAAAGGCAGAACGCUUCUUCCCAGCAGGAUCCCAAGAUGUGAAAAGACAACAAACACAGCAAGAAAUUGAACUUACAAGCAAAAGACAACAUAUAAACAGAUAAAAAGCUAAAGAAUGUCAUCCAUAAACUGUCCCCCUCUAGCCUGACUCCUGACUGUGAAUCCUGUUUCCUCGGCUUCACAUCUGACCAUUUCACAGCAAAGCAGCAGCACGUUUCCCCCCACAGAUCGAGUCCAGCGCAGCCACAGCCCCGGCACUUUCACACACCGCAUGCAGGAUCGCUGCAUAUGAAAUGAACUGUAGGUACAUUGAUCACAUCGCUGGCUCCUCGGGCUCUCACGUGUUUGUCUUUUGCAGUGUGAACAGACUAAGCCCCUCUACUCAGCUGUCAUAAUUUGUUAACGAGUCUUUUCAGGGAGGGGGGAAAAGAAAAAGGAGAAGACAGAAAAAAAAGAAAAGAAGGCUCUUCACGACUGACUGAAAGCAGAGGUCCAUCCAGAGAGGGAACCCAGGGGCGACAUCAGACCGAUUUCAGACCAGCCCGUGAUGGCAUCUCUGUAUAUUUUAAUAUUAAUGACCCCGGCCGCAAAGCCGCCUCUAAGCCUUCAACAGGUGCCCCAGCCCCACUCGAGUCUGAAAAACCCCGGGAUCAUUCAACAUCCAACUAUCCACCACCAGCAGCACCACCACAGGGCAAUAAAGACUGCAAAUGAGGAGGAUGAAGAGGAAGAGGUGGGAGGAAAAAAGACAUAAAGAGUGGAAAGGGGAGUUAGAGAGUCAGUCAUCUCUUGCAAAUAAGUUUUUUUUUUUUUUGAGUCACUUUCCCCCGAGCUGAAACACGGGUCGAUAUUUCUCUCCCCCCCACCUCCCCUCCCCUCCCUUGAGAAAGAGAUUGACUUUUGUUUGGAGUUUGUGAGAAGUGGGAAUCAGAGGCGGGACAAUGG